AAUAUUAGAUUUCUGUAAAAGCAUUUAAGGUGGAGGCUCCCAAUAUAUGAUUAUGUUUGCAACUGAACAUUCUAAUGCUGAUGUACCAAUCGCUGCUGGAAAUCAAAAGCAAUGGAGUCCUAGAACACUGACUCAGAACAUUGAAGAAACAUUCCAAAAAACCUACCCUUCAAAGAGUUUAUCUUUACAAAGGUAGUGUGUGGAGGUGGAGGAGUGGAGGUUAAUAAGACACAUGUCUGUGCUUAUUACAGUGUUUUCCCAGCUCAGACAGUUGUGACAUCUAAGGACAUAGCAGUGAUGGUGGCUAUUUAGCUUUCUGUCUAAGCUCUUAAGCGUUUAUUUGCUCACAGACUCAAUGCAUUUCAGUCUGGUUUUGCUUCCUUGCACCCAGCUUGUCAGGCAAUGUGUCAGAUGAGGUACUUCCUCUUAUUUUGGCCAUUUCCUGUAAAGUAUACCUGUGUAAAAUGGCUAGGCACCAGUAUGAAGGGCUGAAUAGAGCAUCAGCCAUGGCAAUGGUACUGUUGUGGACCCUGUUGUGGAUAUCAGGAUAAUGUCACAGACUUUCAGCUGAAGUGUUGGUACAGUACAAAUACUUUCAUUCUGGGGAGAUACAGAGGGUCUCUCUACAAGCCCCUGCUGAGACCAACGGGACAGAAUUCAUCUGGAAGUGGACGUCACAUGAUGGAAGCUACACAAACACUCGGAUAAUAACUAUACGGUCCAAUGGAACAUAUUCAUGGAAUAUGAAGAAGGAGUCUAUUUUAAAACAAAGGAAGUACGACAUUUAUCUGCGAGCAAAUUGGAAAGAUGCAGGAGUUUUUACUUUUAGUCAAACUAAACCAGAGGAAGUGAACUUGGCUGUGGCUGAAGUGUUCGCUGUAGAAGUGAAACCAUUUCACAUGGACACAGUAAAUGAAGGUUCUGAUGUGGUCAUGAGCUGUGAAGUAUCACACCGUCCAGAUUCAGCUACACUGGACUGGGAAAGGGACAGAGAACCUACUGCUAACACAACGCUGAUCUACAACAACACUGCCCACAUCAUCAUCCACAGUGCUGA